CACUCCCAGACUUUUGGGC
rnacentral:snRNA from 1 species